rnacentral:rRNA from 1 species
UACCGGUUAAUCUUUGCCAGCUGCAGCGUUAAAGCAAGUGGUGUAAACGUUCUAUAGGUUUAUUAGGUGUAAAGAGUGAUUUGGAAUGUGAAUAGGAAUCUGUUUUUCAAAUCUCC